rnacentral:lncRNA from 1 species
GAAAAUUUUGCGGUGGUGGCUAGAAAUUGAUGGAAACAGUGGGAAAAAACACACAAACUAGACUGUAACAAGACCUAACUAGUAACAAGACCUCGACCAUGGACUCUGAAACUGAAAUAUGCAAAGGCUACGGCGCGGAUGGGUUGUAGGACAUGAAAACAAUAUGGCACUAGACUUAUGGGACGAACACAAGGACACUUGAAACUAAGGAUAGAUGUGAACCUAACGGUAUGUCUGAAGCUUUGAUUACCACUUGAGGAGAACAAGUGUGACCCGAUCUUCCGAAAGUUUCACGUAGCUAUCGAUUUGGUGGAAACGAGAGACAUAUCAAUCCAGCUUGCGAACAACACAAUUCGAAACCCUGCAAUUUUUUUUAUUUUUUUUUGAUAUUUUUCUUUUACUUAGGAGCACUCAAGAAGUAACCACAGAAAAUUUGAGCUUAAACAAGUGAAAGACCUGGCCUGUGGAAUUUUUUGAAGAUUGUGAAAAAUAUGAAAAAAACCUUAGGAGGUGAAAACUCAAACUUCAGAGGCGAAUUUGGGGAUUCUAAAAUUAUCGAACUCGCCAAUGGCAAUAGACAGAUCCAAAAAUUUUUUCUGAUCGAUUCUGGUAUAUGGAACGUCAAAAUUAGAGUUCGUAUGCGAAGGUUAUGGCUGUUUUACGAACGGACUCCGAAUUAGAUAACAAAAGGGUCCGAAAGUGAGAAACAUUUGCGGUGGUGGCUAGAAAUUGAUGGAAACAGUGGGAAAAAAUACACAAACUGGACUGUAACAAAACCUAACCAGUAUCAAGACGUCGACCAGGACACAAACUCAACACUACGGACUCUGAAACUGAAAUAUGCAAAGGCUAUGGCGCGGAUGGGUUGUAGGACAUGAAAACAAUAUGGCACUAGACUUAUGGGAUGAACACAAGGACACUUGAAACUAAGGAUAGAUGUGAACCUAACGGUAUGUCUGAAGCUUUGAUUACCACUUGAAGAGAACAAGUGUGGCCCGAUCUUCCGAAAGUUUCUCGUAACUAUCGAUUUGGUGGAAACGAGAGACAUAUCAAUCCAGCUUGCGAACAACACAAUUCGAAACCCUGCAAUUCUUUUUAUUUUUAUUUUUUGAUAUUUUUCUUUUACUUAGGAGCACUCAAGAAGUAACCACAGGAAAUUUGAGCUUAAACAAGUGAAAGACGUGGCCUGUGGAAUUUUUUGAAGAUUGUGAAAAAUAUGAAAAAAAUUUAGGAGGUGAAAACUGAAACUUCAGAGGCGAAUUUGGGGAUUCUAAAAUUGUCGAACCUGCCAGAGGCGGAGAUAGACACAUCCAAAAAAUUGUUCUGAACGAUUUUGAUAUAUGGAACGUCAAAAUUAGAGUUCGUAUGCGAAAGUUAUGGCUGUUUUACGAACGGACUCCGAAUUAGAGGACAAAACGGUGAGGAAGUGAGAAAAAUUUGCGGUGGUGGCUAGAAAUUGAUGGAAACAGUGGGAAAAAACACACAAACUGGACUGUAACAAGACCUAACCAGUAACAAGACCUCCACCACGGACUCUAAAACUGAAAUAUGCAGAGGCUAUGGCGCGGAUGGGUUGUAGGAUAUGAAAACAAUAUGUCACUAGACUUAUGGGACGAACACAAGGACACUUGAAACUAAGGAUAGAUGUGAACCUAACGGUAUGUCUGAAGCUUUGAUUACCACUUGAGGAGAACAAGUGUGACCCGAUCUUCCGAAAGUUUCUCGUAACUAUCGAUUUGGUGGAAACGAGAGACAUAUCAAUCCAGCUUGCGAACAACACAAUUCGAAACCCUGCAAUUAUUUUUAUUUUUUUUGAUAUUUUUCUUUUACUUAGGAGGACUCAAGAAGUAACCACAGGAAAUUUGAGCUUAAACAAGUGAAAGACGUGGCCUGUGGAAUUUUUUGAAGAUUGUGAAAAAUAUGAAAAAAAAAUUUAGGACGUGAAAACUCAAACUUCAGAGGCGAAUUUGGGGAUUCUAAAAUUGUCGAACUCGCCAAAGGCGAGGAUAGAUAGAUCCAAAAAAAUUUUCUGAUCGAUUCUGGUAUAUGGAACGUCAAAAUUGGAGUUCGUAUGCGAAAGUUAUGGCUGUUUUACGAACGGAAUCCGAAUUAGAGGACAAAACGGUCCUGAAGUGAGAAAAAUUUGCGGUGUUGGCUAGAAAUUGAUGGAAACAGUGGGAAAAAACACACAAACUCGACUGCAACAAGACCUAACCAGUAUCAGGACGUCGACCAGGACACAAACUCAACACUACGGACUCUGAAACUGAAAUAUGCAAAGGCUAUGGCCCGGAUGGGUUGUAGGACAUGAAAACAAUAUGGCACUAGACUUAUGGGACGAACACAAGGACACUUGAAACUAAGGGUAGAUGUGAACCUAACGGUAUGUUUGAAGCUUUGAUUACCACUUGAGGAGAACAAGUGUGGCCCGAUCUUCCGAAAGUUUCUCAUAACUAUCGAUUUGGUGGAAACGAGAGACAUAUCAAUCCAGUUUGCGAACAAUACAAUUCGAACCAUGCAAUUCUUUUUUUUUUGAUAUUUUUCUUUUACUUAGGAGCACUCAAGAAGUAACCAUAGGAAAUUUGAGCUUAAACAAUUGAAAGACGUGGCCUGUGGAAUUUUUUGAAGAUUGUCAAAAAUAUGAAAAAAACUAGGAGGUGAAAACUCAAACUUCGGAGGCAAAUUUGGGGAUUCUAAAAUUGUCGAACCCGCCAAAGGCGGGGAUAGACAGAUCCAAAAAUUUUUUCUGAUCGAUUUUGAUAUAUGGAACGUCAAAAUUAGAGUUCGUAUACGAAAGUAAUGGCUGUUUUACGAACGAACUCCGAAUUAGAGGACAAAACGGUCCGGAAGUGGAAAAAAUUUGCGGUGGUGGCUAGAAAUUGAUGGAAAUAGUGGGAAAAAACACAUAAACUGGACUGUAACAAGAUCUAACCAGUAACAAGACCUCGACCAGGACACAAACUCAACACUACGGACUCUGAAACUGAAAUAUGCAAAGGCUAUGGCGCGGAUGGGUUGUAGGACAUGAAAACAAUAUGGCACUAGACUUAUGGGACGAACACAAGGACACUGGAUAGAUGUGAACCUAACGGUAUUUCUGAAGCUUUGAUUACCACUUGAGGAGAACAAGUGUGGCCCGAUCUUCCGAAAGUUUUUGGUAACUAUCGAUUUGGUGGAAACGAGAGACAUGUCAAUCCAGCUUGUCAACAACACAAUUCGAAACCCUGCAAUUCUUUUUUUUUGAUAUUUUUCUUUACUUAGGACCACUCAAGAAGUAACCACAGGGAAUUCGAGCUUAAACAAGUGAAAGACGUGGCCUGUGGAAUUUUUUGAAGAUUGUGAAAAAUAUGAAAAAAAAACUUUAGGAGGUGAAAGCUCAAACUUCAGAGGCGAAUUUGGGGAUUCUAAAAUUGUCGAACCCGCCAACGGCGGGCAUAGACUGAUCUAAAAAUUUUUUCUGAUGGAUUGUGAUAUAUGGAACGUCAAAAUUAGAGUUCGUAUGCGAAAGUUAUGGCUGUUUUACGAAUGGACUCCGAAUUAGAGGACAAAACAGUGAGGAAGUGGGAAAAUUUUGCGGUGGUGGCUAGAAAUUGAUGGAAACAGUGAGAAAAAACACACAAACUAGACUGUAACAAGACCUAACCAGUAACAAGACCUCGACCAUGGACUCUGAAACUGAAAUAUGCAAAGGCUAUGGCGCAGAUGGGUUGUAGGACAUGAAAACAAUAUGGCACUAGACUUAUGGGACGAACACAAGGACACUUGAAACUAAGGAUAGUUGUGAACCUAACGGUAUGUCUGAAGCUUUGAUUACCACUUGAGGAGAACAAGUGUGACCCGAUCUUCCGAAAGUUUCACGUAACUAUCGAUUUGGUGGAAACGAGAGACAUAUCAAUCCAGCUUGCGAACAACACAAUUCGAAACCCUGCAAUUUUUUUUAUUUUUUUUUUGAUAUUUUUCUUUUACUUAGGAGCACUCAAGAAGUAACCACAGGAAAUUUAAGCUUAAACAAGUGAAAGACCUGGCCUGUGGAAUUUUUUGAAAAUUGUGAAAAAUAUGAAAAAAAACAUUAGGAGGUGAAAACUCAAACUUCUGAGGCGAAUUUGGGGAUUCUAAAAUUAUCGAACUCGCCAAUGGCAAUAGACAGAUCCAAAUUUUUUUUCUGAUCGAUUCUGGUAUAUGGAACGUCAAAAUUAGAGUUCGUAUGCGAAGGUUAUGGCUGUUUUACGAACGGACUCCGAAUUAGAGAACAAAAGGGUCCGAAAGUGAGAAACAUUUGCGGUGGUGGCUAGAAAUUGAUGGAAACAGUGGGAAAAAAUACACAAACUGGACUGUAACAAGACCUAACCAGUAUCAAGACGUCGACCAGGACACAAACUCAAUACUACGGACUCUGAAACUGAAAUAUGCAAAGGCUAUGGCGCGGAUGGGUUGUAGGACACGAAAACAAUAUGGCACUAGACUUAUGGGAUGAACACAAGGACACUUGAAACUAAGGAUAGAUGUGAACCUAACGGUAUGUCUGAAGCUUUGAUUACCACUUGAAGAGAACAAGUGUGGCCCGAUCUUCCGAAAGUUUCUCGUAACUAUCGAUUUGGUGGAAACGAGAGACAUAUCAAUCCAGCUUGCGAACAACACAAUUCGAAACCCUGCAAUUCUUUUUAUUUUUAUUUUUUUGAUAUUUUUCAUUUAUUUAGGAGCACUUAAAAAGUAACCACAGGAAAUUUGAGCUUAAACAAGUGAAAGACGUGGCCUGUGGAUUUUUUUGAAGAUUGUGAAAAAUAUGAAAAAAAACUUUAGGAGGUAAAAACUCAAACUUCAGAGGUGAAUUUGGCGAUUCUAAAAUUGUCGAACCCGCCAAAGGCAGGAUAGACAGAUCCAAAAAUUUUUUCUGAUGGAUUUUGAUAUAUGGAACGUCAAAAUUAGACUUCGUAUGCGAAAGUUAUGGCUGUUUUACGAACGAACUCCGAAUUAGAGGACAAAACGGUCCGGAAGUGGGAAAAAAUUUGCGGUGGUGGCUAGAAAUUGAUGGAAAUAGUUAGAAAAAACACACAAAUUGGACUGUAACAAGACCUAACCAGUAACAAGACCUCGACCAGGACACAAACUUAACACUACGGACUCUGAAACUGAAAUAUGCAAAGGCUAUGGCGCGGAUGGGUUGUAGGAUAUGAAAACAAUAUGGCACUAGACUUAUGGGACGAACACAAGGAAACUUGAAACUUAGGGUAGAUGUGAACCUAACCGUAUGCCUGAAGCUUUGAUUACCACUUGAGGAGAACAAGUGUGGCUCGAUCUUCCGAAAGUUUCUCGUAACUAUCGAUUUGGUGGAAACGAGAGACAUAUCAAUCCAGCUUGCGAACAACACAAUUCGAAACCCUGCAAUUCUUUUUAUUUUUACUUUUUGAUAUUUUUCUUUUACUUAGGAGUACUCAAGAAGUAACCACAGGAAAUUUGAGCUUAAACAAGUGAAAGACGUGGCCUGUGGAAUUUUUUGAAGAUUGUGAAAAAUAUGAAAAAAAAAUUUAGGACGUGAAAACUCAAACUUCAGAGGCGAAUUUGGGGAUUCUAAAAUUGUCGAACUCGCCAUAGGCGAGGAUAGAUAGAUCCAAAAAAUUUUUCUGAUCGAUUCUGGUAUAUGGAACGUCAAAGUUGGAGUUGGUAUGCGAAAGUUAUGGCUGUUUUACGAACGGACUCCGAAUUAGAGGACAAAACGGUCCGGAAGUGAGAAAAAUUUGUGGUGGUGGCUAGAAAUUGAUGGAAACAGUGGGAAAAAACACACAAACUCGACUGCAACAAGACCUAACCAGUAUCAAGACGUCGAGCAGGACACAAACUCAACACUACGGACUCUGAAACUGAAAUAUGCAAUGGCUAUGGCCCAGAUGGGUUGUAGGACAUGAAAACAAUAUGGCACUAGACUUAUGGGACGAACACAAGGACACUUGAAACUAAGGGUAGAUGUGAACCUAACGGUACGUUUGAAGCUUUGAUUACCACAUGAGGAGAACAUGUGUGGCCCGAUCUUCCGAAAGUUUCUCGUAACUAUCGAUUUGGUGGAAACGAGAGACAUAUCAAUCCAGUUUGCGAACAACACAAUUCGAACCCUGCAAUUCUUUUUUUUGAUAUUUUUCUUUUACUUAGGAGCACUCAAGAAGUAACCACAGGAAAUUUGAGCUUAGACAAGUGAAAGACGUGGCCUGUGGAAUUUUUUGAAGAUUGUCAAAAAUAUGAAAAAAAACUUUAGGAGGUGAGAGGCGAAUUUUGGGAUUCUAAAAUUGUCGAACCUGCCAUAGGCAGAGAUAGACAGAUCCAAAUUUUUUUUCUCUGAACGAUUUUGAUAUAUGGAACGUCAAAAUUAGAGUUCGUAUGCGAAAGUUAUGGCUGUUUUACCAACGGACUCCGAAUUAGAGGACAAAACGGUCCGGAAGUGGGAAAAAUUUAGGGUAGUGGCUAGAAAUUGAUGGAAACAGUGGGAAAAAACACACAAACUGGACUCGUAACGAGAGACAUAUCAAUCCAGCUUGCGAACAACACAAUUCGAAACCCUGCAAUGCUUUUUAUUUUUAUUUUUUGAUAUUUUUCUUUUACUUAGGAGCACUCAAGAAGUAACCACAGGAAAUUUGAGCUUAAACAAGUGAAAGACGUGGCCUGUGGAAUUUUUUGAAGAUUGUGAAAAAUAUGAAAAAAAAUUUAGGAGGUGAAAAGUCAAACUUCAGAGUUGAAUUUGGGGAUUCUAAAAUUAUCGAACCCGCCAAAGGCGGGCAUAGACGGAUCCAAAAAUUUUUUCUGAUCGAUUUUGAUAUAUGGAACGUCAAAAUUAGAGUUCGUAUGCGAAAGUAAUGGCUGUUUUACGAACGAACUCCGAAUUAGAGGACAAAACGGUCCGUAAGUGGGAAAAAUUUGCGGUGGUGGCUAGAAAUUGAUGGAAAUAGUGGGAAAAACACAUAAACUGGACUGUAACAAGACCUCGACCAGGACACAAACUCAACACUACGGACUCUGAAACUGAAAUAUGCAAAGGCUAUGGCGCGGAUAGGUUGUAGGACAUGAAAACAAUAUGGCACUAGACUUAUGGGAUGAACACAAGGACACUUGAAACUAAGGAUAGAUGUGAACCUAUGUCUGAAGCUUUGAUUACCACUUGAGGAGAACAAGUGUGGCCCGAUCUUCCGAAAGUUUUUGGUAACUAUCGAUUUGGCGGAAACGAGAGACAUGUCAAUCCAGCUUGUCAACAACACAAUUCGAAACCCUGCAAUUCUUUUUUUUGAUAUUUUUCUUUUACUUAGGAGCACUCAAUAAGUAACCACAGAAAAUUUGAGCUUAAACAAGUGAAAGACGUGGCCUGUGGAAUUUUUUGAAGAUUGUGAAAAAUAUGAAAAAAAACUUUAGGAGGUGAGAACUCAAACUUCAGAGGCGAAUUUGGGGAUUCUAAAAUUGUCGAACCCGCCAACAGCGGGCAUAGACUGAUCUAAAAAAUUUUUCUGAUGGAUUGUGAUAUAUGGAACGUCAAAAUUAGAGUUCGUAUGCGAAAGUUAUGGCUGUUUUACGAACGGACUCCGAAUUAGAGGACAAAACAGUCAGGAAGUGGGAAAAAUUUGCGGUGGUGGCUAGAAAUUGAUGGAAACAGUGAGAAAAAACACACAAACUGGACUGUAACAAGACCUAACCAGUAACAAGACCUCGACCACGGACUCUGAAACUGAAAUAUGCAAAGGCUAUGGCGCGGAUGGGUUGUAGGACAUGAAAACAAUAUGGCACUGGACUUAUGGGACGAACACAAGGACACUUGAAACUAAGGAUAGAUGUGAACCUAACGGUAUGUCUGAAGCUUUGAUUAUCACUUGAGGAGAACAAGUGUGACCAGAUCUUCCAAAAGUUUCACGUAACUAUCGAUUUGGUGGAAACGAGAGACAUAUCAAUCCAGCUUGCGAACAACACAAUUCGAAACCCUACAAUUCUUUUUAUUUUUAUUUUUUGAUAUUUUUCUUUUAUUUAGGAGCACUUAAGAAGUAACCACAGGAAAUUUGAGCUUAAACAAGUGAAAGACCUGGCCUGUGGAAUUUUUUGAAGAUUGUGAAAAAUAUGAAAAAAAAACCUUAGGAGGUGAAAACUCAAACUUCAGAGGCGAAUUUGGGGAUUCUAAAAUUGUCGAACUCGCCAAUGGCAAUAGACAGAUCCAAAUUUUUUUUCUGAUCGAUUCUGGUAUAUGGAACGUUAAAAUUGGAGUUCGUAUGCGAAGGUUAUGGCUGUUUUACGAACGGACUCCGAAUUAGAGAACAAAACGGUCUGAAAGUGAGAAAAAUUUGCGGUGGUGGCAAGAAAUUGAUGAAAACAGUGGAAAAAAAUAUACAAACUGGACUGUAACAAGACCUAACCAGUAUCAAGACGUCGACCAGGACACAAACUCAACACUACGGACUCUGAAACUGAAAUAUGCAAAGGCUAUGGCGCGGAUGGGUUGUAGGACAUGAAAACAAUAUGGCACUAGACUUAUGAGACGAACACAAGGACACUUGAAACUAAAGAUAGAUGUGAACCUAACGGUAUGUCUGAAGCUUUGAUUACCACUUGAAGAGAACAAGUGUGGCCCGAUCUUCCGAAAGUUUCUCGUAACUAUCGAUUUGGUGGAAACGAGAGACAUAUAAAUCCAGCUUGCGAACAACACAAUUCGAAACCCUGCAAUUCUUUUUAUUUUUAUUUUUUGAUAUUUUUCUUUUAUUUAGAAGCACUUAAGAAGUAACCAUAGGAAAUUUGAGCUUAAACAAGUGAGAGACGUGGCCUGUGGAAUUUUUUGAAGAUUGUGAAAAAUAUGAAAAAAAAACUUUAGGAGGUAAAAACUCAAACUUCAGAGGUGAAUUUGGGGAUUCUAAAAUUGUCGAACCCGCCAAAGGCAAGAUAGACAGAUCCAAAAUUUUUUUCUGAUCGAUUCUGGUAUAUGGAACGUCAAAAUUGGAGUUCGUAUGCGAAGGUUAUGGCUGUUUUACGAACGGACUCCGAAUUAGAGAACAAAACGGUCCGAAAGUGAGAAAAAUUUGCGGUGGUGGCUAGAAAUUGAUGGAAACAGUGGGAAAAAAUACACUUAAACUGGAUUGUAACAAGACCUAACCAGUAUCAAGACGUCGACCAGGACACAAACUCAACACUACGGACUCUGAAACUGAAAUAUGCAAAGGCUAUGGCGCGGAUGGGUUGUAGGACAUGAAAACAAUAUGGCACUAGACUUAUGGGAUGAACACCAGGACACUUGAAACUAAGGAUAGAUGUGAACCUAACGGUAUGUCUGAAGCUUUGAUUACCACUUGAGGAGAACAAGUGUGGCCCGAUCUUUUGAAAGUUUUUCGUAACUAUCGAUUUGGUGGAAACGAGAGACAUAUCAAUCCAGCUUGCGAACAACACAAUUCGAAACCCUGCAAUUCUUUUUAUUUUUAUUUUUUGAUAUUUUUCUUUUACUUAGGAGCACUUAAGAAGUAACCAUAGGAAAUUUGAGCUUAAACAAGUGAAAGACGUGGCCUGUGGAAUUUUUUGAAGAUUGUGAAAAAUAUGAAAAAAACUUUAGGAGGUGAAAACUCAAACUUCAGAGGCGAAUUUGGGGAUUCUAAAAUUGUCGAACCCGCCAAAGGCAGGAUAGACAGAUCCAAAAAAAUUUUUUGAUCGAUUUUGAUAUAUGAAACGUCAAAAUUAGAGUUCGUAUGUGAAAGUUAUGGCUGUUUUACAAACGAACUCCGAAUUAGAGGACAAAACGGUCCGGAAUUGGGAAAAAUUUGCGGUGGUGGCUAGAAAUUGAUGGAAAUAGUGGGAAAAAACACACAAACUGGACUGUAACAAGACCUAACCAGUAACAAGACCUCGACCAGGACACAAACUCAACACUACGGACUCUGAAACUGAAAUAUGCAAAGGCUAUGGCGCGGAUGGGUUGUAGGACAUGAAAACAAUAUGGCACUAGACUUAUGGGACGAACACAAGGACACUUGAAACUAAGGGAAGAUUUGAACCUAACGGUAUGUCUGAAGCUUUGAUUACCACUUGAGGAGAACAAGUGUGGCCCGAUCUGCCGAAAGUUUCUCGUAACUAUCGAUUUGGUGGAAACGAGAGACAUAUCAAUCCAGCUUGUGAACAACACAAUUCGAAACCCUGCAAUUCUUUUUAUUUUUAUUUUUUGAUAUUUUUCUUUUACUUAGGGGCACUCAAGAAGUAACCACAGGAAAUUUGAGCUUAAACAAGUGAAAGACGUGGCCUGUGGAAUUUUUUGAAGAUUGUGAAAAAUAUGAAAAAAAAAUUUAGGAGGUGAAAACUCAAACUUCAGAGGUGAAUUUGGGGAUUCUAAAAUUGUCGAACCCCCCAAAGGUGGGGAUAGACAGAUCCAAAAAUUUUUUCUGAUCAACUUUGAUAUAUGGAACGUCAAAAUUAGAGUUCGUAUACGAAAGUUAUGGCUGUUUUACGAACAAACUCCGAAUUAGAGGACAAAACGGUCCGGAAGUGGGAAAAAUUUGCGGUGGUGGCUAGAAAUGGAUGGAAAUAGUGGGAAAAAACAUAGAAACUAGACUCUAACAAGAUCUAACCAGUAACAAGACCUCGACCAGGACACAAACUCAACACUACGGACUCUGAAACUGAAAUAUGCAAAGGCUAUGGCGCGGAUGGGUUGUAGGACAUGAAAACAAUAUGGCACUAGACUUAUGGGACGAACACAAGGACACUUGAAACUAAGGAUAGAUGUGAACCUAACGGUAUGUCUGAAGCUUUGAUUACCACUCGAGGAGAACAAGUGUGGCCCGAUCUUUCGAAAGUUUCUGGUAACUAUCGAUUUGGUGGAAACGAGAGACAUAUCAAUCCAGCUUGCCAACAACAUAAUUCGAAACCCUGCAAUUCUUUUUUUUGAUAUUUUUCUUUUACUUAGGAGCACUCAAGAAGUAACCACAAGAAAUUUGAGCUUAAACAAGUGAAAGACGUAGCCUGUGGAAGUUGAAGAUUGUGAAAAAUAUGAAAAAAAACUUUAGGAGGUGAAAACUCAAAUUUCAGAGGCGAAUUUGGGGAUUCUAAAAUUGUCGAACCCGCCAAAGGAGGGAUAGACAGAUCCAAAAAAUUUUUCUGAUCGAUUUUGAUAUAUGGAACGUGAAAAUUAGAGUUCGUAUGUGAAAGUUAUGGUUGUUUUAUGAACGAACUCCGAAUUAGAGGACAAAACGGUCCGGAAGUGGGAAAAAUUUGCGGUGGUGGGUAGAAAUUGAUGGAAAUAGUUGGAAAAAACAAACAAACUGGACUGUAACAAGAUCUAACCAGUAACAAGACCUCGACCAGGACACAAACUCAACACUACGGACUUUGAAACUGAAAUAUGCAAAGGCUAUGACGUGGAUGGGUUGUAGGACAUGAAAAGAAUAUGGCACUAGACUUAUGGGACGAACACAAGGACACUUGAAAGUAAUGGUAGAUAUGAACCAAACGGUAUGUCUGAAGCUUUGAUUACCACUUGAGGAGAACAAGUGUGGCCCGAUCUUCCAAAAGUUUCUCGUAACUAUCGAUUUGGUGGAAACGAGAGACAUAUCAAUCCAGCUGGCGAACAACACAAUUCGAAACCCUGCAAUUCUUUUUAUUUUUUUGAUAUUUUACUUUUACUUAGGAGCACUCAAGAAGUAACCACAGGAAAUUUGAGCUUAAACAUGUGAAAGACGUGGCCUGUCGAAUUUUUUGAAGAUUGUGAAAAAUAUGAAAAAAAAACUUUAGGAGGUGAAAACUCAAACUUCAUAGGCGAAUUUGAGGAUUCUAAAAUUGUCGAACCCGCCAAAGGAGGGGAUAGACAGAUCCAAAAUUUUUUUCUGAUCGAUUUUGAUAUAUGGAACAUCAAAAUUGGAGUUCGUAUACGAAAGUAUGGCUGUUUUACGAACGGACUCCGAAUUAGAGGACAAAACGGUCCGGAAGUGGGAAAAAUUUGCGGUGGUAGCUAGAAAUUGAUGGAAACAGUUAGAAAAAACACACAAACUGGACUGUAACAAGACCUAACCAUUAACAAGAUCUCGACCAGGACAUAAACUCAACACUACGGACUCUGAAACUGAAAUAUGCAAAGGCUAUGGCGCGGAUGGGUUGUAGGACAUGAAAACAAUAUGGCACUAGACUUAUGGGACGAACACAAGGACACUUGAAACUAAGGGUAGAUGUGACCCUAACGGUAUGUCUGAAGCUUUGAUUACCACUUGAGGAGAACAAGUGUGGCCCGAUCUUCCGAAAGUUUCUCGUAACUAUCGAUUUGGUGGAAACGAGAGACAUAUCAAUCCAGCUUGCGAACAACACAAUUCGAAACCCUGUAAUUCUUUUUUUUUGAUAUUUUUCUUUUACUUAGGAGCACUCAAGAAAUAACCACAGGAAAUUUGAGCUUAAACAAGUGAAAGACGUGGCCUAUGGAUUUUUUUGAAGAUUGUGAAAAAUAUGAAAAAAAAAAUUAGGAGGUGAAAACUCAAACUUCAGAGGCGAAUUUGGGGAUUCUAAAAUUGUCGAACCCGCAAAAGGCAGGGAUAGACAGAUCCAAAAUUUUUUUCUGAACAAUUUUGAUAUAUGGAACGUCAAAAUUAGACUUCGUAUGCGAAAGUUAUGGCUGUUUUACGAACGGACUCCGAAUUAGAGGACAAAACGGUCCGGAAGUGGGAAAAAUUUGCGGUGGUGGCUAGAAAUUGAUGGAAACAGUGGAAAAAACACACAAACUUUACUCUAACAAGACCUAACCAGUAACAAGACCUCGACCAGAACACAAACUCAACACUACGGACUCUGAAACUGAAAUAUGCAAAGGCUAUGGCGCGGAUGGGUUGUAGGACAUGAAAAGAAUAUGGCACUAGACUUAUGGGACGAACACAAGGACACUUGAAACUAAGGGUAGAUAUAAACCUAACGGUAUGUCUGAAGCUUUGAUUACCACUUGAGGAGAACAAGUGUGGCCCGAUCUUCCGAAAGUUUCUCGUAACUAUCGAUUUGGUGGCAACGAGAGACAUAUCAAUCCAGCUGGCGAACAACACAAUUCGAAACCCUGCAAUUCUUUUUAUUUUUUUUGAUAUUUUUCUUUUACUUAGGAGCACUCAAGAAGUAACCAUAGGAAAUUUGAGCUUAAACAAGUGAAAGACGUGGCCUGUGGAAUUUUUUGAAGAUUGUGAAAAAUAUAAAAAAACUUUAGGAGGUAAAAACUCAAACUUCAGAGGCGAAUUUGGGGAUUCUAAAAUUGUCGAACCCGCCAAAGGCGGGGAUAGACAGAUCCAAAAAUUUUUUCUGAACGAUUUUGAUAUAUGGAACGUCAAAAUUAGAGUUCGUAUGCGAAAGUUAUGGCUGUUUUACGAAUGGACUCCGAAUUAGAGGACAGAACGGUCCGGAAGUGGGAAAAAUUUGCGGUGGUGGCUAGAAAUUGAUGGAUACAUUUGGAAAAAGCACACAAACUGGACUGUAACAAGACCUAACCAGUAACAAGAUCUCGACCAGGACACAAACUCAACACUACGGACUCUGAAAUAUGCAAAGGCUGUGGCGCGGAUGGGUUGUAGGACAUGAAAACAAUAUGACACUAGACUUAUGGGACGAACACAAGGACACUUUAAACUAAGGGUAGAUGUGAACCUAACGGUAUGUCUGAAGCUUUGAUUACCACUUGAGGAGAACAAGUGUGGCCCGAUCUUCCGAAAGUUUCUCGUAACUAUCGAUUUGGUGGAAACGAGAGACAUAUCAAUCCAACUUGCGAACAACACAAUUCGAAACCCUCCAAUUCUUUUUUUUGAUAUUUUAAUUUUAUUUAGGAGCACUUAAGAAGUAACCAAAGGAAAUUUGAGCUGAAACAAGUGAAAGACGUGGCCUGUGGAAUUUUUUGAAGAUUGUGAAAAAUAUGAAAAAAAACUUUUGGAGGUGAAAACUCAAACUUCAGAGGCGAAUUUGGGGAUUCUAAAAUUGUCGAACCCGCCAAAGGAGGGAUAGACAGAUCCAAAAUUUUUUUCUGAACAAUUUUGAUAUAUAGAACGUCAAAAUUAGAGUUCGUAUGCGAAAGUUAUGGCUGUUUUACGAACGGACUCCGAAUUAGAGGACAAAACGGUCUGGAAGUGGGAAAAAUUUGCGGUGGUGGCUAGAAUUUGAUGGAAACAGUAGGAAAAAACACACAAACUGGACUGUAACAUGACCUAACCAGUAACAAGACCUCGACCAGGACACAAACUCAACACUACGGACUCUGAAACUGAAAUAUGCAAAGGCUAUGGCGCGGAUGGGUUGUAGGACGUGAAAACAAUAUGGCACUAGACUUAUGGGACGAACACAAGGACACUUGAAACUAAGGGUAGAUGUGAACUUAACGGUAUGUCUGAAGCUUUGAUUACCACUUGAGGAGAACAAGUGUGGCCCAAUCUUCUGAAAGUUUCUCGUAACUAUCGAUUUGGUGGAAACGAGAGACAUAUCAAUCCACCUUGCGAACAACACAAUUCGAAACCCUGCAAUUCUUUUUAUUUUUAUUUUUUGAUAUUUUUCUUUUACUUAGGAGCACUCAAGAAGUAACCACAGGAAAUUUGAGCUUAAUCAAGUGAAAGACGUGGCCUGUGGAACUUUUUGAAGAUUGUGAAAAAUAUGAAAAAAAAUUAGGAGGUGAAAACUCAAAC